UUACAUACCUACUUAUUCAGUCAUAAGAUUGUUCUAAGCUCACAAUGCAUGGAAUAUUCACAAAUAUCUUAUGGUACAUAGAGUUCAUAGCGUUUGCUGUUACAUUGAUCGGUUUCUUCUGUUUGGUUUUAUAUUUAGCAAAUUUGAAUUACGUUUCUUACAAUCCCCGAUUUGACAUGAGGAAAAAAUAUAUGGCUGAUGGUACUUGGUUCAUUCAGAAUUAAUGAAUGAUUUGGAACGGAAGAAACAAAUAAUAUUCCUUCAUGAAUAUACCCGAAAGAAACAGAUACCCCAAAUUCAAGAGCCUUAUCAACGGCCAGUGUGUUUUGAUCUUGGCUGUGUAUGGUUCUGUCGGAUAAUGGGUAGUAUAGUGACUAUAGCUGUUUGUUACUAUUUUGCUUAUGCUUUAAUUACUAAC